UUUGACCUCGAAUCAGGUAGGACUACCCGCU
rnacentral:rRNA from 1 species